ACGAGGAGUUAAGAGUUCAUUCGGCUGUCCAGAUGUAUCCAAGUACCCUGUGUUAUUUGGCAAUAAAUACAUCUGGGCAACUGACUGAACUUUUCACUUUUCAU
rfam:Pan troglodytes isolate Yerkes chimp pedigree #C0471 (Clint) chromosome X, whole genome shotgun sequence.